UGAGAGGAUGAUCAGUCACACUGGAACUGAGACACGGUCCAGACUCCUACGGGAGGCAGCAGUGGGGAAUAUUACACAAUGGAGGAAACUCUGAUGUAGCAACGCCGCGUGGAGGAUGACACAUUUCGGUGCGUAAACUCCUUUUAUAUGGGAAGAUAAUGACGGUACCAUAUGAAUAAGCACCGGCUAACUCCGUGCCAGCAGCCGCGGUAAUACGGAGGGUGCAAGCGUUACUCGGAAUCACUGGGCGUAAAGCGCAUGUAGGCGGUCUUGUAAGUUGGGUGUGAAAGCCUAUGGCUCAACCAUAGAACUGCACCCAAAACUACUAGACUAGAGUCUGGGAGAGGAAAAUGGAAUUAGUUGUGUAGGGGUAAAAUCCGUAGAGAUAACUAGGAAUACCAAAAGCGAAGGCAAUUUUCUGGAACAGUACUGACGCUCAGAUGCGAAAGCGUGGGUAGCAAACAGGAUUAGAUACCCUGGUAGUCCACGCCCUAAACGAUGAAUGUUAGUCGUCGGGAGGCUCGUCCUUUCGGUGAUGCAGCUAACGCAUUAAACAUUCCGCCUGGGGAGUACGGUCGCAAGAUUAAAACUCAAAGGAAUAGACGGGGACCCGCACAAGUGGUGGAGCAUGUGGUUUAAUUCGAAGAUACGCAAAGAACCUUACCUAGCCUUGACAUUGAUAGAAUCCGAUGGAAACAUUGGAGUGCCAGUUUACUGGAGCUUGAAAACAGGUGCUGCACGGCUGUCGUCAGCUUGUGUCGUGAGAUGUUGGGUUAAGUCCCGCAACGAGCGCAACCCUCGUCCUUAGUUACUAACGGUUCGGCCGAGGACUCUAAGGAGACUGCCUUCGUAAGGAGGAGGAAGGUGAGGACGACGUCAAGUCAUCAUGGCCCUUACGGCUAGGGCGACACACGUGCUACAAUGGAUAGGACAAUGAGACGCAAUACCGCGAGGUGGAGCAAAUCUAUAAACCUAUUCUCAGUUCGGAUUGUAGUCUGCAACUCGACUACAUGAAGCUGGAAUCACUAGUAAUCGUAGAUCAGCCAUGCUACGGUGAAUACGUUCCCGGGUCUUGUACUCACCGCCCGUCACACCAUGGGAGUUGAUUUCACCCGAAGCGGGGAAGCUAAAUCUGGCUACCCUCCACGGUGGAAUCAGCGACUGGGGUGAAGUGGUAACAAGG
rnacentral:rRNA from 1 species